rnacentral:rRNA from 1 species
UACAGAGGGGGCAAGCGUUGUUCGGAAUUACUGGGCGUAAAGGGCGCGUAGGCGGCCUGCUAAGUCGAACGUGAAAUCCCCGGGCUCAACCCGGGAACUGCGUCCGAUACUGGCAGGCUUGAAUCCGGGAGAGGGAUGUGGAAUUCCAGGUGUAGCGGUGAAAUGCGCAGAUAUCAGGAGGAACACCGGUGGCGAAGGCGGUUCUCUGGGCAUUACCUGACGCUGAGGAGCGAAAGUGUGGGGAGCGAACAGG